AGCCACAGCCAUAUCACCCUGCAGCCCAAGACUGGUUGCCCACUGAAGCUAAGCAGGGUUGAGCCUGGUCAGUACCUGGAUGGGAGACCUCCUGGUAAAACUAGGUUGUUGUUGGUA
ensembl:rRNA 5S_rRNA 5S ribosomal RNA